GCCGGGCCCAGCCAAUGCGAGACCAAAGCCCUCAGGAUUUGCUACGUUGAGCAUUGAGCUCAGAGCUGACAGAUGGAGUCAGAUGGGCAAACUAAUUAUAUUUUUCAUUUUUUUUCUUGGACAUUUGUGAGUCUGCAGGAGCUUAAUUUAUGUAUUAAUUACACCUCAGAGCUAAAUGAGGGGGCUGGAGUGCCUCCAACAGCCUUUGCAUUUUAUUAGGAAAUGUUGCACACAUACUUGCCUUCCUAAGGAAAUAGCUACUAAAGCUUCCCUCUGAGGAGCUCUGUGGGCCUUGAGGAAACAGAACUCUUCAGCCGCUCAGGUGGGGGCCCAGGUGGAACACUUCAGGCCAGCCUUCGCUUCAGCCUGUGGGCUGACGUUAGAACCUUCAGAUUCAUCUUCCUCCCCUCACCUGCGGCAGCAACUCCACUGAAGGGAAGCAGUCCCCUCACUGCACCCGCAAAGCCCCAGCCCCCUCAACUGCUGCGUGGGUUUCCCCUGAUCAGCUCUGGCGUGGUUGUGUUGCACUGAGCCGCUGUCUCCAGGCCGAGGCCCAGCAGUGAGGCCGGGGACCUGUUUAUAGGGCCUGGGGCUUCCAGAAGGGAGUGACUCCCAGUUGGGUCCCCCAUCUGUGAGCCAGACACCUGAGGACAGGCCUCUCUCAGGGGAGCAACAGACCCAGAGAAGGGACCUAAGGUACUCAGUGCAUGGAGAAUUAGGGCCAGCAUGGGAACCAAGCUUUUUAUAACCUGGGCGCGCUUAAAGCCAGGGGCACCUGCACCACCGUCUUUUAGCCAGCACCUCCUGACCCCCAUCAGUGCCCUCGGCUCGUACCCCGAGGAGGAGACUCGGGACCAGGCUCGGUUUUCUAGACUAUUAGCUGGAGAAGUAUAGCUGCAAGAAGUUGCUCAAGACACUGUCCUUCCAGACCCGGAGGAUGUUGGGUUAGGGGAGGAACUGAAGGAGAGGGUGGUUCAGGCUUAUCACACAGACUGACUGACUCUCUUCCAGACCUCAGUCUUAUCCGUCAAAUGGAGACCACGAUAUCUAUGAUCCCAGCUACAGUGGCAAUGUUCCCUCCCUGCCAGCCGGCUGUGAGGAUGACUUAUGAUGGCUGUGGAAGACUUGCUUCUGAAUAUACAGACUCUUGUGGAAUGCAGCAAAAAGCCUGUGAAGGCUCCAAAUAGAACUGGGUUCGAAUACCACUUAUGCUACUUGGCUACUGUAUGACCUUGGGGAAGUUGCUUAACCUCUCUGAGCUUCAGUUUCCCCAUCUGUAAAACAGGACUAAUCACUUAAAUCUGGAAUGGUUGUUAUGAGGAUUACAUCAGAAAACUCAGGCGACAUGGCUGGUGUCUCCAAACGGCUGCAUACAUGCCUCGAAACCUCCUCACCUACUCCCCUUGGCACUUUCAAACUGCUAUGAUUUUGUAGAAAGGUGUGGAAUUUAAUCUCUGAUCCGCUCCCCUCUGGGAGGUGAUCUGCAGGGGCGAGGCUCCUCAUGCCGACAAUGGGCCUGUGCUUGGUGUGGGUGGUGGUUCCCUGUCCAUUCCCUCUGGUCCUGGAGCCCUUCUGUUACUGGUGCACUGGGAUCCUUUCUGCCUGAAGGCCUCUUUAUGAGUCACGUAAACGGGGACCUGGCAGGGGUUCUUUAGAACAAAUAUUUCCACUUUCUUUAGAGGAUCUGACUCUCCAGUUUCCCAAUUAAUGAGAGCUCAGGUUGACCCUGGAUUUGACAAAAGCUCGCUCCCACUUUCAGGUUUGCCGACAGACUUUCGUGCUCUUCCUCAUCCCCACUUUAUUUCUACCAACCAGAAAAAUUACCCCUCCUCCCUCUGCCGUUCUAGAUUUUACCAGCCUGGGCGUUCAAGAGCCCCUAUCCUUAAUACCCCCAUGCGUUGGCAUGUGGUUUUCUGAGGCCCAGAAAUCCCUUCCUUUCUUUAUCCUCUGGUUCAUAAAACUCCGAUCAGACGGCCUCUUUCUCCGGGAACCCUUCUCUGGUCUUUCCAGACACAACGAACCCGGCCGGCUGCUGUGGCCUACGCUAGAGGCAUCUGGGCAAGAAAGGAUUAACGGUAAUAACUGCCCACGGCCACCAGGGGGCAUGCUACCCGGGACGGCUCAAGGGCUGUGCAACGUGGGGCUUUUGUCUAGUUGGAACCCCAAGCACAAAGUGACAUUGCAGUGGUGUACCUGGAGCCCUGGACCAUGGGGCAGCAGUCAGAAGUCAGUAGGCACUGUCCUAGGCAGACAGACAGGAAUGCAGCCCCACCAGCCUCUGCAGUCUUUCACAGAGCACCCGUAGAGACCCAGGGCCUCCCGCUUCCCUGAGGAGGGGCUGAAGCAGCAAUGCAGCCGGUCAGGAGCUUGUCUAGAUUUUUCAGCAGAGAGGGAGGUUUCAAGCACAUCUUGCUUCUUCACAGAGUCCCCAGCCCAGGGGGCUUUGAUAGGGUAAAGCCUACCUGCAAUUAGAAUCACGAUUCUGGCCCAGAGUGGGCUAGAGCAGCCCAGCGGACCCCUCCCCAAGUCCCCUCCCAAGGAUGCUCCUGGCUCUCCAGGCGAUAACCACACCUAAUUUGUACUUUUUAUUAUUUAUUUUUUUAGUUUUUUGAGAUGGAGUCUCGCUCUGUGUCCAGGCUGGAGUGCAAUGGCGUGAUCUCGGCUCACUGCAAAUUCCGCCUCCCGGGUUCAAGUGAUUCUCCUGCCUCAGCUUCCCGAGUAGCUGGGAUUACAGCCACGCGCCACCACGUCUGGCUAAUUUUUGUAUUUUUAGUAGAGACUGGGUUUCACCUGUUGGCCAGGCUGGUCACGAACUCCUGACCUCAAGUGAUGCCUGCUUCGGCCUCCCAAAGUGCUGGGAUUACAGAUGUGAGCCACCGCGCCCGGCCCACCAGAUGUGUACUUCUGAGGGGCCUUUGUCCCCUUACUUGUCUGCUACCUCCACCAGGUGGGAGCCCUUCAAGAGCACUGGCCACGUCUUGUUCACCCUGGCAUCCCUAGUGAGGCCUGGCCCAAGUGAGUGACCUGUAAAUGGCACGCCAAGGCCCUUCAGGCUCACUGGGUUUCCUGUGGACACGGCAUUCUCUAUGUGUGCCUGUACCCAUGUGCUCCUGGCACACUGGAGGGGCUCACGUGUCCCACAUAAGAGAGGUGAGUGGGGGCAGGGCCUGGCCAAGGAGCUGGAUGAGAGGUGGGGCAGGCCUCAUUGAGCACUUGGGAAAUUAAUUGAGGGGUCCACAUUGAGCUCCCCACUCUCUCCUUCCCCUCCUCUUCAUGAAACUCUUCAGGACCUCGCUGUCUUGUCCUUGGGUGACAUGAGGGCCGGUCUUAGGUGUCGACUUGGCUAGGCUACAAUCCCCAGUUAUUCCAUCAACACUAAUCUAGGAGUUGCUGUGGAGGUAUCUCGUAGAUGUGUAUCUUAGUCCAUUUUCUGUUGCUAUAACUGAAUACCAGAGACUGGGCAAUUUAUAAAGAAAAGAAAUUUAUUUCUUAGAGUUCUGAAGAUUGAGAUGUCCAAGGUUGAGGGGGUCCAUCUGAUGAAGGCUUUCUUGCUAAUGGUCAGUGCAGGGCAUCGUAUGGGGAGGGGCUCACAAGAGAGAGCCAAGCUGGAUUUUUGUAACAGACUCACUCUUGUGAUAGCUAAUCUACUCCCAUGAUAACCCAUUAAUCUAUUAACCCAUUAAUCCAUGAAUGCCCACAUGACCCAACUACCUCUGAAAGGCCCUGUCACCUGCCAAUACUAUUAAAUUAGGGAUUAAGUUUCAGAUUGAGUUUUGGAGGAGACAUUCAAGCCACAGCAAUGUAGUUGAUAUCUACAAUUGGUUGGGGUUUUUUGUUGUUGUUGUUUUAGAGACAGGGUCUCACUCUGUUUUCUGGGCUGGAGUAUAAGUGGCUUGAUCAUAGCUGACUGCAGCCUUGAACUUUUGGGCUCAAGUGAUCCUCCCCGCUUGGCCUCCAGAGUAGCUAGGAGUAUAGCCUUGAACUUUUGGGCUCAAGUGAUCCUCCCGGCUUGGCCUCCAGAGUAGCUAGGAGUAUAGGAGUGUGCCACCACACCGGGCUAAUUUUUUUAUGUUUUGUAGAGAUGAGGCUCUUGCUCUGUUGUCCAGUCCUGUCUCAAACUCCUGGCCUCAAGCAAUCUUCCUGCCAAAAUACUGGGAUUAUAGGCGUGAGCCACUGCACUGGGCCGGUUAACCUUAAAUAAAGGAGAUAGCCCUCAAUAAUCUGAGUGGGCAUGAGUCAAUCAGUUGAAAGGCCUUAGGAGCAGAGCUGAGGCUUUCUUGAGAAGAAAUCCCACCUGUGGCCUGCAGCAUCAGCCUGAGAGUUCUGGACUGCCCCUCCUGAGAGCCUGCGCUAUGGAUCCAGCCCCCACGGUCACGUAAGCCGAUUUCUUGCAACACAUCUCUCUCUUUUUUUUUUUUGAGAUGGAGUUUUGCUCUUGUUGCCCAGACUGGAGUGCAAUGGCACCAUCUCAGCUCACUGCAACCUCCGCCUCCCAAGUUCAAGUGAUUCUCCUGCCUCAGCCUCCCGAGUAGCUGGGAUUACAGAUGCCUGCCACCACGCCUGGCUAAUUUUGUAUUUUUAGUAGGGACGGGGUUUCUCCACGUUGGUCAGGCUGGUCUCGAACUCCUGAACUCAGGUGAUAGGCCCGCUUUGGCCUCCCAAAGUGCUGUAAUCCCAAAGUGUAAUCCCAAAGGGAUUACAGGCAUGGGCCACCAGGCCUGGCCGCAACACAACUCUUAAUAUAUGUCUCCUAUUGGUUCUGUUUCUCUGGUGGAAUCUUCUCAGAUGCAGGCAGGCUGGGGAAGCUCCCUGUACCUGGGAAAGGCAGGAGGAAUCAAGACGGUGCAUCAAUGCCCAUGCUGGGGCCCUCACUGUAUGGCACACAGAGUGCUAAGACUUUUGUCACAUUUAACCCCCCAAGCAUCAUAUGUCACAGGUUUAUUAUCCCCAUUUUAUAGUUGAGGCAACUGAGGCACAAUGAAGUUAUGUGGCCAAGGUCAUACAGCAUGCUGCAGGCCUGGAUCAUAAACUCCUGGUUCCAGGGCACAGCGUUUUAACCUUUUUCAUGCCAAUGACCUGUUUCAUCUUGGUGAAGCCAUGGACCCCUCCUCUGAAUGAUUCUUUCAUAUGCAUUAAGUAAAAUAAAGGUUACAAAGGAAACUAUUUCUAAAAAGUAAUCAUCAAAAUAUCCUAAAACAUAAACUUAUAAUACAGUAAUCUAUGUACUUUUUAACUAAAGCAUCCCAUUAACCGGACUAUUGGGGUCUACAUGUCACACAACUCUAUGUCAUGUAUCUGUGAUUAUUGUACUGGGCUAUGAAAACUCUAUGAUUCUCAGGAACAGAAAACUAAACACCACAUGUUCUCACUCAUAAGUGGGAGUUGAACAAUGAGAACACAUGGACACAGGGAGGGGAACAUCAC
rnacentral:lncRNA from 10 species